UACGGAGGAUGCGAGCGUUAUCCGGAUUUAUUGGGUUUAAAGGGUGCGUAGGCGGGCAUUUAAGCCGGCGGUCAAAUGUCGGGGCUCAACCCCGGCCUGCCGUCGGAACUGGGUGCCUUGAGUGGGCGAGAAGUAUGCGGAAUGCGUGGUGUAGCGGUGAAAUGCUUAGAUAUCACGAAGAACUCCGAUUGCGAAGGCAGCUCACUGGACUGCAACUGACACUGAGGCUCGAAAGUGUGGGUAUCAAACAGG
rnacentral:rRNA from 1 species